rnacentral:rRNA from 1 species
AGGGGACCGCCGUUGAAACUGGUGGGCUUGAGUACGUCUGGGGCAGGCGGAAUGCGUGGUGUAGCGGUGAAAUGCAUAGAUAUCACGCAGAACCCCGAUCGCGAAGGCAGCCUGCCAAGCCGUGACUGACACUGAUGCACGAAAGCGUGGGUAUCGAACAGGAUUAGAUACCCUGGUAGUCCACGCAGUAAACGAUGAUCACUAGCCCUCUGCGAUAGACUGUAGGGGGCCGAGCGAAAGCGUUAAGUGAUCCACCUGGGGAGUACGCCGGCAACGGUGAAACUCAAAGGAAUUGACGGGGGCCCGCACAAGCGGAGGAACAUGUGGUUUAAUUCGAUGAUACGCGAGGAACCUUACCCGGGUUUGAACGGCGGCGGACAGGGACGGAAACGCCCCCUCCCCUCGGGGCCGCCACCGAGGUGCUGCAUGGUUGUCGUCAGCUCGUGCCGUGAGGUGUCGGCUUAAGUGCCAUAACGAGCGCAACCCCCACCGAUAGUUGCCAUCAAGCGAAGUUGGGGACUCUAUCGGGACUGCCGGCGUAAGCCGCGAGGAGGGCGGGGAUGACGUCAAAUCAGCACGGCCCUUACAUCCGGGGCGACACACGUGUUACAAUGGCGCGGACAAAGGGUCGCGGCCUGGCGACAGGUAGCCAAUCCCGAAACCGCGUCUCAGUUCGGAUCGGAGUCUGCAACCCGACUCCGUGAAGCUGGAUUCGCUAGUAAUCGCGCAUCAGCCAUGGCGCGGUGAAUACGUUCCCGGGCCUUGUACACACCGCCCGUCAAGCCAUGGGNNNNGGNNNNNCCUGAAGUCCGUGACCGGAAGGAUCGGCCUAGGGUAAGACCGGUGACUGGGGAUGAGUCGUAACAAGGUAACCA